rnacentral:rRNA from 1 species
UACGUAGGGUGCAAGCGUUAAUCGGGAUUACUGGGCGUAAAGCGUGCGCAGGCGGCUUUGCAAGACAGAUGUGAAAUCCCCGGGCUCAACCUGGGAACUGCAUUUGUGACUGCAUGGCUAGAGUACGGUAGAGGGGGAUGGAAUUCCGCGUGUAGCAGUGAAAUGCGUAGAUAUGCGGAGGAACACCGAUGGCGAAGGCAAUCCCCUGGACCUGUACUGACGCUCAUGCACGAAAGCGUGGGGAGCAAACAGG